AUUGAACGCUGGCGGCAGGUCUAAUACAUGCAAGUCGAACGGUAACAUAAGAAAAGCUUGCUUUUCUUGAUGACGAGUGGCGGACGGGUGAGUAAUAUUUGGGAAACUACCUGAUAGAGGGGGACAACAGUUGGAAACGACUGCUAAUACCGCAUACAGCCUCAGGGUGAAAGAAGCGAUUCGCUAUCAGAUGUGCCCAAACGGGAUUAGCUAGUAGGUGAGGUAAAGGCUCACCUAGGCGACGAUCUCUAGCUGGUCUGAGAGGAUGAUCAGACACAUUGGGACUGAGACACGGCCCAGACUCCUACGGGAGGCAGCAGUAGGAAAUAUUGCACAAUGGAGGAAACUCUGAUGCAGCCAUGCCGCGUGUGUGAAGAAGGCCUUCGGGUUGUAAAGCACUUUCGGAGGGGAGGAAGAAAAUGACGUUACCCUCAGAAGAAGCACCGGCUAACUCCGUGCCAGCAGCCGCCGUAA
rnacentral:rRNA from 1 species